UCAUAAGCCCGAUGGUACGAAUGCCGUUUUAUCAAUGAUUAUUUUCUAUCAAAUAAAUUGAAACGGCAGCAGGGAAAGCGGGGCUGCUG
rnacentral:sRNA from 1 species